UACAGAGGGGGCAAGCGUGGUUCGGAAUUACUGGGCGUAAAGGGCGCGUAGGCGGCCUGUUAAGUCGAACGUGAAAUCCCCGGGCUCAACCCGGGAACUGCGUCCGAUACUGGCAGGCUUGAAUUCGGGAGAGGGAUGUGGAAUUCCAGGUGUAGCGGUGAAAUGCGUAGAUAUCUGGAGGAACACCGGUGGCGAAGGCGGCAUCCUGGACCGAUAUUGACGCUGAUGCGCGAAAGCCAGGGGAGCAAACGGG
rnacentral:rRNA from 1 species